AUGAAGAACCCAUUUUGUUUUGAAUUCCUGACCCUUUCUCCUGGUCACUCUGCUAAAUUCAAGUCCCGCAGGAAGACAACAAAAGAGUUGGGAGGAGGAGACCAAAGAUGGUUAAACCAGGGGAACAGGAUCUGCGGAUGGUGCAAGAAGAGGGCUGAGGGCCACUCACCGCUCCUCCCCUGCAGUCCACUGCCCGGUAUUCCUGCCUCUCAGCUCGGCGGACGGUCCGGCUUCCACCACCGGGGCUCUUCAGGCAGGCGGCCCGAGGUGCGCCUCCACCCUUGUCCUCUUGCAGACCUCGUCACGCCUUCGUCUUCCCUGCUCAGGCCUCUCCCGCUUGUCCGCUCGCCCUGCCCACCCCCAGAAAACGAACCGCGAGACCAGGACACUUCCGGCUUUAGCGUGAGCCCACCCCUCUCUCCUCUCCAGGUGCUUCAUCUUUAACCAAAGGCCUGGUUUCUAGAGUGGAAAAACCUGCUUGGCCCUGGGUUGCUCUCACCAUGGGCUCACCACUGAGACCCAAGGUGAGGAGGCUGGGGUGCCCCCCACCCCCGCCCCGGGCAGGUUCUGAGGGUGGCUAACAGAUGGGUGGCAGGCUGCAGGGAGCAAGAGCUCAGGAGAGAGUGUCAUCAGGAUCUGCUCUCUCCUGCUAGUUUCUUCCUUCACGCUGGAGCCAAAGUCACAGCUCACCCAGGAGGGCAGCUCCUGCCGGCAGGAUAAAAAUACCCCUCAGUUUGACUACUGAGCCCAUGCGUGGCCAACUCAGCCAUGAAAGGCCAGGAGAGAGCAAACAGGGCGGAAUGGCGCUGACUUCCCUGCUUGCUAACACAUGGACGAGGCGGGAUAAAGCCUUGAUGAUGAGCAUGAAUGUUUCUUUUAUUGUUCAUCAAGCCCUUCGAGGAAUUAUGGGAGCUCCAGACCAUUUUCUCAGGGGGAAAAAAAAAUCCAUAGAGGUGUAUUUUCACACAAAAUUACAGACAAUCUCAGAGGAUAUACAGAACUCUUGAUGCUAAGAGGUCCAUAAUUCCCUGGGCCAGAACAGACACUAUAGCAGAGCAGAAAGGAUUUAGAAGCCAGCCAUUGGAAAUAGCAUUAAGCUGCUGGAAAAGGGUGGAAGCAAUGGUGUUGAUCUCCACCCUGAGAAUCCUUCCGUCUGCACCAGGAAUGCAGCACAGUGGGGGAUACUCUAAAUGUGAGACAGACCCUUGGGCACUACAGCGCAAGACCAGAAAUAGUAAGGAGAUACCUUGGAUCAAAAUCGAUAGAAGAGCUCCCUGGGAAGCAGCUGGAGAAGAAAGCCCUGGAGAGCUGAUAUAUAAUCCAGCCUCCACCGAUGAGGCAUUUCUAAAAUCAACUGCCGCAUCCCUGGCUGUCAGAGGUGGCCUCUGUCAGGUGUUAGAGGUUUCCAGGGCACUUCGGAUCAGCUAGUUCUCUGCCAAGUCAUGCGAUCACCACCCUAAUGCAAAGAGUGAAAGUUGCUCAGUCGUGUCUGACUCUGCAACCCCAUGGACUGUAGCCUGCUAGGCUCCUCUGUCCAUGGAAUUCUCCAGACCAGAAUACUGGAGUGGGUAGCUGCUCCCUUCUCUAGGGGACCUUCCCAACGCAGGUCUCCUGCACUGCAGGCAGACUGUUUACCAGCUGAGCCACCAGGGAAGAUACACUAAUGCCAAAGCCAGCAGUUAUGCAACACUGAGAUUAGUGUUCCCACCAGUGGGUGGGGAGGUCGGGGGGCAGGGUUUGUAGCAGUGGAAGGAGGAGCAUCUCAGUGCCCUUGAACAUACGGGAAGUGCCACCAGAGGGUCAGGCCAUAGGAUCAGACGGGAAAGAAAGAGACGUGAGAGCGCCUGAGGUGGGUCCCAGAAUUCCAUUGAAAACAAUCAUGUUUUUCUCCAAUCAUGUUUUUCACGCUCAACAACUGUGGCUCCUCUUGAGAACUCAAGAGCCAGCAUUUGGGCCUGUUGAGAGCAGCAGAGUCCUCAGGUCAGUCUCUCUUCGAUUACUUAUCAGACGUAAACACAUAUUCUGUAUUAAGGGCAAAGAUUCUAUUUUCAAAGAGGUUCAUUCAAUUGAUUGAAGAAGUUUAACUGAGAGCACUGGAACAGCCCAGGCUGCUCCAUGGUCUAGCCAACAUUCACCCUCUCUCCCACUCUGCCCAGUCUGGUCUGUACCUCUCUGCUCCUGCUGCCUCCCCAUUUCUGAUUACAAGUGUCCCAUCGCUCUCAACACACAGUCACUGUAGAGCAAUGGGAUACUUGUAACCAGAAACAGUUUGCAAUUGCUUCAAUGUAAUGUUGGUAUCUACAGCUUUGCCCAGCUUCAGAACUCAACCCCUAGCAAACACCUUGAAGGAAAAGAAGCCUUGGUCCAGGCGUGAGGCAAGGUGGGCUGUAGUCUUAGUUUUUCACUCAGUUCAGUUCAGUCGCUCAGUCAUGUUCGACUCUUUGCGAUGCCAUGAAUCGCAGCACACCAGGCCUCCCUGUCCAUCAUCAACUCCCAGAGUUCACCCAAACUCAUGUGCAUGGAGUCAGUGAUGCCAUCCAGCCAUCGCAUCCUCUGUCAUCCCCUUCUCCUCCUGCCCCCAAUGCCUCCCAGCAUCAGAGUCUUUUCCAAUGAGUCAACUCUUCACGUGAGGUGGCCAAAGUAUUGGAGUUUCAGCCUCAGCGUUAUUCCUUCCAAAGAACACCCAGGACUGAUCUCCUUCAGAAUGGACUGGUUGGAUCUCCUUGCAGUCCAAGGGACUCUCAAGAGUCUUCUCCAACACCACAGUUCAAAUCAAUUCUUCAGCACUCAGCUUUCUUCACAGUCCAACUCUCACAUCCAUACAUGACCACUGGAAAAACCAUAGCCUUGACUAGAUGGACCUUUAUUGGCAAAGUAAUAUCUUUGCUUUUUAAUCUGGUUUUUAUUUCUGGUUUUCCACUAACAUGUAUGUUUUUCUGUGUCCCUCAGUUCCCUCAGUCUCCACACUUGGAUAUCAGGGGACCGGAUACAAAGAGCUCUGUGAUGCCUUUUGACUUCCCUGUACAGUCAAGGACAGCUGCAAGGUGGAGAUCUUCCAAAGGUCACCAAGAGCACCAAGCCUUCUAGCCCCAGUGCCAGGGGUUGACCUCAAAAGGAACUCCAGUGAGGUUUCUGGAAAACAUUCCAGUUCUUUCACCCAGCUCACACCAUAGCCCUCUGAAAAGGUUACACAGUGUCUCCUCAAAGUCCUGUCAGUGGAAAUUCGAGUGGAUUGUUAUUGCUUUCUUCUUCCAAGGCCCAUUCCCUCCUCCCCUAAUAAUGGAACCCUAGUUUUCCUUUAAGGAAUUGUCCUUUCUCUGUUGCCAGUCCUUGAGGGUUGAGCUCCAGGGACAGGCUCAUGAAAAGCUGGGCAAAAAGCCUAUUUUCCACCUCGGUGGUUGACUGAUGAUGGGAUAAAGGACAAAGGCAGACUCAAAUCAAGACGUUGGCCAGAGAUGCUGGAGGCCUUUGGCUUCUUUAUGGAAUGAAGUCUCACAGAAGAAAUCAGAGCUGGGAGCUGAAGAAGAGACAAUUGUUGAGAACAACAUUUGAGCCCCUAGAUCCAGCCAUGCCUGAAAGCCUAUACGUGGACUUUCAAUUACCUGAGCAAAUAAAUCCAUUCCCACUUUUUUGUUGUUGAAGGGA
ensembl:lncRNA